rnacentral:lncRNA from 1 species
AUUCAUUUUGUUAUGAAACACACGUGUACACAACGACACUUAUGUAGAGUUAUAAAUUGACCAAAAUUUCCCACAUUUAUUUUUAGCCAGACGAUUGACCAAUGAGAAACCAGUAUAAAAUUACAUGCGGACUGGGUGUUGCCAAAGCUUGAGACGAAUGCAAAAAAAAUCCCGUUGACCGACUUCUGAGACCUGCUACUAAUGAUCCCGACA